UGGGGAAUAUUGCACAAUGGGCGCAAGCCUGAUGCAGCCAUGCCGCUUGUAUGAAGAAGGCCUUCGGGUUGUAAAGUACUUUCAGCGGGGAGGAAGGGAGUAAAGUUAAUACCUUUGCUCCUUGACGUUACCCGCAGAAGAAGCACCGGCUAACUCCGUGCCAGCAGCCGUGGUAAUACGGAGGUUGCAAGCGUUAAUCGGAAUUACUGGGCGUAAAGCGCACGCAGGCGGUUUGUUAAGUCAGAUGUGAAAUCCCCGGGCUCAACCUGGGAACUGCAUCUGAAACUGGCAAGCUUGAGUCUCGUAGAGGGGGGUAGAAUUCCAGGUGUAGCGGUGAAAUGCGUAGAGAUCUGGAGGAAUAACGGGGGCGAAGGCGGCCUCCUGGGCGAGGACUGAAGGUCAGGUGCGAAAGCGUGGGGAGCAAACAGG
rnacentral:rRNA from 1 species